UGGAUCUUCUAGCCCAAAGG
rnacentral:misc_RNA from 1 species